rnacentral:rRNA from 1 species
GAGGAAUAUUGGUCAAUGGACGAGAGUCUGAACCAGCCAAGUAGCGUGAAGGAUGACUGCCCUAUGGGUUGUAAACUUCUUUUAUACGGGAAUAAAGUGAGGCACGUGUGCCUUUUUGUAUGUACCGUAUGAAUAAGGAUCGGCUAACUCCGUGCCAGCACGCCGCGGUAAUACGGAGGAUCCGAGCGUUAUCCGGAUUUAUUGGGUUUAAAGGGAGCGUACGCGGACGCUUAAGUCAGUUGUGAAAGUUUGCGGCUCAACCGUAAAAUUGCAGUUGAUACUGGGUGUCUUGAGUACAGUAGAGGCAGGCGGAAUUCGUGGUGUAGCGGUGAAAUGCUUAGAUAUCACGAAGAACUCCGAUUGCGAAGGCAGCUUGCUGGACUGUAACUGACGCUGAUGCUCGAAAGUGUGGGUAUCAAACAGGAUUAGAUACCCUGGUAGUCCACACAGUAAACGAUGAAUACUCGCUGUUUGCGAUAUACAGUAAGCGGCCAAGCGAAAGCGUUAAGUAUUCCACCUGGGGAGUACGCCGGCAACGGUGAAACUCAAAGGAAUUGACGGGGGCCCGCACAAGCGGAGGAACAUGUGGUUUAAUUCGAUGAUACGCGAGGAACCUUACCCGGGCUUGAAUUGCAACUGAAUGAUGUGGAGACAUGUCAGCCGCAAGGCAGUUGUGAAGGUGCUGCAUGGUUGUCGUCAGCUCGUGCCGUGAGGUGUCGGCUUAAGUGCCAUAACGAGCGCAACCCUUAUCGAUAGUUACCAUCAGGUUAUGCUGGGGACUCUGUCGAGACUGCCGUCGUAAGAUGUGAGGAAGGUGGGGAUGACGUCAAAUCAGCACGGCCCUUACGUCCGGGGCUACACACGUGUUACAAUGGGGGGUACAGAAGGCAGCUACACGGCGACGUGAUGCUAAUCCCGAAAGCCUCUCUCAGUUCGGAUUGGAGUCUGCAACCCGACUCCAUGAAGCUGGAUUCGCUAGUAAUCGCGCAUCAGCCACGGCGCGGUGAAUACGUUCCCG